rnacentral:lncRNA from 1 species
AUUGUUAUGACUCCAGCGGGCUACCAUACAGUGAGACUGUUGGCUGAGUGAGCAGUGUUUCUGAGCAGAAUGUUACUACAUUUGACUUACAGGCUGCUGGUAUUUCCAUCUCUCUUGGAUCUACCCUCCUUUUCCUAGUUAAUAUAGUCCCCAGAGUUGGAGAGUUCUCUUCUCUUCUCAAGAUUGCCUGUUUAUGCAAAUGAAUGCAACCAGGCUUAUAGCAAGGCUGGCUAUUCUCAUAGCCCUAGGUGCUGAACUGCCUCAAAGCUACACAAGCAGAAUUAUGACAGGGUGUACAAGCUACUGAGUGUCCAAGGAACGGCAGUAACUCCAAUAUUGAUGGAUUGUCUUUAAGCAAGGGAAGAAGCUGGAUAGAACUUCUGGCUGAUGCAGGGGAAGGUGAAUGAACAUGACAGGAUGUCUGGAGCCACGGCCUGGGAGGACAUAAAGCACAGCAACAGGGAACCUUGGAGACAAGACCAGCAAACUUACAGAUGGGCUGCUUGUGGAGAAGAUGUACUUUGAGGCUUGCACUGUGGGAAGUUUCUACUGACCUAUCUUCAAAUUCUCCUGGUUGUUUUCUUAGCCAACUCUACUCUGUUGAUGAAACCAUUGAAGAUGCUCUUCAUUUUGGUUACUAAGAGACCACUGUGGCACGUGCCAUAUCCAGAGGCUCCUGAAGAAGUCUGUGGAGUCCUUUCUGGAAAGACCCUCUUCUCAGAGCAUGUCUGUCAUUGCUAACAGGUGAGUUAGACAGUCUGCCUUGAGCAGAGGCUGCACAGCCGGGAAUCUCCACAGGCCCUGCUGUUCCCUGACACUUCCUUUGCCACGUCCUGGAAGGAACUGAGCUCCUAGAUUCACAGAGCUGGCAUCACAGCUGCAACACAAUCAGAGGGGGAGAAGAGCACUGAGCCUUGAGUAUUUGUUCUCCGGUCUCCAGGCUGUGAGGGAUGCUUUCCCUCCUGUCCCCCUAAGGUCAAUCUGUCCAUAAGAGAGCCACCCUUGCUUUCCUCAUGUCUAGUCAGUGAUGGAAGUCCCACCAGCUCUAUUUCACCUAGGAUGCCAUUGGUUCCACCAUUGGUUGGUGGUGAUGGUGG